GUUAAUUGGAUUUUGGUUGAAUUGCUUGGGCCUAAGGCCGUGAUUGGUUUGUGUUUGAGGUUUAGUAAAGUAUGAAAGAUUAAGCUGGUUCAGCAUAGACUUAAUGAACCUAUGCUUGGAAUAAAUUAGUCAUUCAUACAGUCUAGGAAAACUUUUAAGACGUAUAUAAAGAAAAAUAUGGGUUUAGGAUUUUGGAUAAUUAAUUGAUGCUUCUAA